rnacentral:rRNA from 1 species
CCUACGGGAGGCAGCAGUGGGGGAUAUUGCACAAUGGGGGGAACCCUGAUGCAGCGACGCCGCGUGGGUGAAGGAGCGUUUCGGCGCGUAAAGCCCUAUCGGCAGGGAAGAAGAUGACGGUACCUGACAAAGAAGCCCAGGCUAACUACGUGCCAGCAGCCGCGGGAAUACGUAGGGGGCAAGCGUUAUCAGGAUUUACUGGGUGUAAAGGGGGCGCAGACGGCAAUGCAAGCCAGGAGUGAAAGCCCGGGGCCCAACCCCGGGACUGCUCUUGGAACUGCAUGGCUGGAGUACAGGAGGGGCAGGCGGAAUGCCUAGUGUAGCCGUGAAAUGCGUAGAUAUUAGGCGGAACACCGGUGGCGAAGGCGGCCUGCUGGACUGUGACUGACGUUGAGGCCCGAAGGCGUGGGGAGCAAACAGGAUUAGAUACCCUUGUAGUC